UUAUUUGAUGAUGAAAAUUGA
rnacentral:piRNA from 1 species